rnacentral:rRNA from 1 species
AUUGAACGCUGGCGGCAGGCCUAACACAUGCAAGUCGAGCGGAGCGGCGGACGGGUGCGUGAUGCUUAGGUAUCUGCCAGGUCGUGGUGGAGAACGUCCGGAAAUGGGCGCUAUAGCCGCAUACUAUUAGAUGAGCAUAGGUCGGAAUGGCUAGUGGGUGGGGUAAGGGCCUACCAAGGCGACGAUCCCUAACUGGUCUGAGAGGAUGAUCAGUCACACUGGAACUGAGACACGGUCCAGACUCCUACGGGAGGCAGCAGUGGGGAAUAUUGGACAAUGGGCGAAAGCCUGAUGCAGCCAUGCCGCGUGUGUGAAGAAGGUCUUCGGAUUGUAAAGCACUUUAAGCUGGGAGGCGUUACCAGCAGAAUAAGCACCGGCUAACUUCGUGCCAGCAGCCGCGGUAAUAC